UGUAAUAAAUUAGUUUAACUAAAAUUCGUAAUAUAUCAUAUCUUCGAAUUAUAAACACUGACUUAGACUUGAUUUAUGCUCGAUGUAAAGCAGAGGCCAAUGACGAUUAAGACAGCGACAACUCGCGGUAUGACAUAUGCAACGUGUUUCUUUAUGAACGAGAAUUAUACGUUAUCAUUUCGAAAUUAUUGUGAAACGCGCGAUUACAGCGCCCCAACGGUGAAACACGCAAUAUACUUCCUACGAUUCUCGAAAUAAUCGAUAUUUCUCAUGAUCGAUUUUUAAACGAGAAUAAUCGGAAGGAAACGCACCUCGUCUGUAAAAAAGAAAGUGUUAUCCAGAAGAAGUAUCAAGAAGUUCCAAAAUUCUCAAAUUAUUCCUUGGUUGCAAAGAUAGCAUAGAAUGCGUACAUGUCACGAUCAUUAACGAACAAUCUGAUGACCUUUCACCGAAAGUUGGUAACAUUUUAUUCAUUCUAGGUAACA